rnacentral:rRNA from 1 species
GAUGAACGCUGGCGGCGUGCUUAACACAUGCAAGUCGAACGAGAAGUGGAGACGGAAACCUUCGGGUGGAAGACUUUAUUUCGAGUGGCGGACGGGUGAGUAACGCGUGGGUAACCUGCCUCAUACAGGGGGAUAACAGUUGGAAACGACUGUUAAUACCGCAUAAGACCACAGCACCGCAUGGUGCGGGGGUAAAAACUCCGGUGGUAUGAGAUGGACCCGCGUUCGAUUAGCCAGUUGGCGGGGUAACGGCCCACCAAAGCGACGAUCGAUAGCCGAUCUGAGAGGAUGACCGGCCACAUUGGGACUGAGACACGGCCCAAACUCCUACGGGAGGCAGCAGUGGGGAAUAUUGCACAAUGGGGGAAACCCUGAUGCAGCGACGCCGCGUGAGUGAAGAAGUAUUUCGGUAUGUAAAGCUCUAUCAGCAGGGAAGAAAAUGACGGUACCUGAGUAAGAAGCCCCGGCUAACUACGUGCCAGCAGCCGCGGUAAUACGUAGGGGGCAAGCGUUAUCCGGAUUUACUGGGUGUAAAGGGAGCGCAGACGGCUCUGCAAGUCUGAAGUGAAAGCCCGCGGCUUAACCGCGGGACUGCUUUGGAAACUGCAAGGCUUGAGUAUCGGAGGGGCAGGCGGAAUUCCUAGUGUAGCGGUGAAAUGCGUAGAUAUUAGGAAGAACACCGGUGGCGAAGGCGGCCUGCUGGACGAAAACUGACGUUGAGGCUCGAAGGCGUGGGGAGCAAACAGG